rnacentral:rRNA from 1 species
UAGUAACGGCGAGUGAAGCGGGAAAAGCUCAAACUUGAAAUCUCCUUGUGUUUUACACUUGGCGAAUUGUAGUCUAUAGAAGCGAUGUCAACACGGUUUCCUUAGUCAAGUUCUCUGAAAGGAGACAGCAUGGAGGGUUAUACUCCCGUGAUUGCUAAAGAAACUUGUGUGUACGACUCGUCUUCGUUGAGUCGCGUUGUUUGGGAGUGCAGCGCAAAGUAGGUGGUAAAUUCCAUCGAAAGCUAAAUAUAAGUGCGAGACCGAUAGCGAACAAGUACCGUGAGGGAAAGAUGAAAAGAACUUUGAAAAGAGAGUUAAAAAGUACCUGAAACUGCUGAAAGGGAAGCGAAUCGUGUCUAGUGUCUAUUAUCCUUGGCAUAUUUCAAUACAUGAAAAAACGUGAUGAAUACGUGCGAUGAACUUGUUCACGUACUUGUUUGUCAAGUUUUUGCAUGGCUUGCACUGUGCCUUGGUGGGACGUCAACGUCAGUGUGUAUUGCGGGAAAAGGUCUUGAUGGAAGGUAGGUUGUAUGUUUACAUGCAUCCUUUAUAACCAACUUGACUUGCUGUCAUAAUACACACUGAGGAUACUCACAACCUGCUUGCAAGGAUGUAAACGUUGUUGAAUGCUAUGUAAUGGAUAGCUUGCUAUGUAUUACGUCCCCAUUGAACCUACGUGUACAU